GAGAGAGACAUGCGCGCAUAUCAAUAAGCGGAGGAAAAGAAACUAACAAGGAUUCCCCUAGUAACGGCGAGUGAAGCGGGAAGAGCUCAAAUUUGAAAUCUUAAAGGGUUUCCCUUUACAAAUUGUAGUUUAAAGAAGUGUUUUCUGUUGAGGUCUUGGUAAAAGUUCUUUGGAAUAGGACAUCAUAGAGGGUGAGAAUCCCGUAUUUGACCUUUACUUUCAACUUUGUGAUACACUUUCAAAGAGUCGGAUUGUUUGGGAAUGCAGUCCAAAAUGGGUGGUAAAUUUCAUCUAAAGCUAAAUAUUGGCGAGAGACCGAUAGCGAACAAGUACCGUGAGGGAAAGAUGAAAAGAACUUUGAAAAGAGAGUUAAACAGUACGUGAAAUUGUCAAAAGGGAAGCGUUUGACACCAGUGUUGUUUUUCUGAAAAUCAAUUAAAGAACUGUUUAUGCUAAGCUGUUUAGACUUUAUCAGCUAUCUGUUUAGUUUUGAGCUUUUCUUUAAUGCACUUUUCAGUUAACAAGUCAACAUCAAUUUCUUUUGCUGUAAAAAAGCUUGAGGAAGGUGGCUUGAGAUUCGUCUUAAGUGUUUAUAGCCUCUUGCCUAUGCAGUCGGAGAGAUUGAGGUCUGCAGCGUAGAUCCUUCGGGGCUAAAUGCAUUUGUGCUAAGUUAUAGCAUUUUAUAGACAACUUGUUGACUAUGAUUUGUCUUGUAGCUUACUCGCUUAUGUUAUUUUACCUACGCUUAGGAUGUUGAGCGCAUGUCUCUCUCU
rnacentral:rRNA from 1 species